rnacentral:rRNA from 1 species
GACGAACGCUGGCGGCGUGCUUAACACAUGCAAGUCGAACGGUGAUGGCCAGCUUGCUGGUCUGAUCAGUGGCGAACGGGUGAGUAACACGUGAGCAACCUGCCCCUCACUUCGGGAUAAGCCUUGGAAACGGGGUCUAAUACCGGAUAUGACACACCUGCGCAUGCGGAGUGUGUGGAAAGUUUUUCGGUGGGGGAUGGGCUCGCGGCCUAUCAGCUUGUUGGUGGGGUGAUGGCCUACCAAGGCGACGACGGGUAGCCGGCCUGAGAGGGGGACCGGCCACACUGGGACUGAGACACGGCCCAGACUCCUACGGGAGGCAGCAGUGGGGAAUAUUGCACAAUGGGCGAAAGCCUGAUGCAGCGACGCCGCGUGAGGGAUGAAGGCCUUCGGGUUGUAAACCUCUUUCGGCAGGGAAGAAGCGAAAGUGACGGUACCUGCAGAAGAAGCGCCGGCUAACUACGUGCCAGCAGCCGCCGUAAUAC